rnacentral:lncRNA from 1 species
UUGAUGUCCAAUGUCCAUGUCCUCUUAAUAAUUGUAGUUUUAACUUUUAUUACACUGAAUAGUUAACGCGUCUCACAAAUCGUAUGUAUAGCUCGUACAAAAAUCAUUAUUAAUUGAAGGGGUCAGUGGAUAAAUGUGUUAACUGACAUUUUUUCAAAAAUGCAUUUUAUUGCAUGAAUAAAGGUGUUAUAAUGCUAUAAACAUUAUAUCACUAUUUGAUAAGGUUUAAUUUAGUAGUUACCAAUAAUAGUUAUGGUUACCUACAUGUUAUAAGAAGAAUUAAUCAUUAGUUGUAGUGGAUAAACGUGUUAGUGUAUGUUAACUUGAACAAUUUCAAAAAUGUUAGUUAACACCUUUAUCCACUGACCCCUUCAAUUAUUUUGUAAAUAUAUUGACUGUCAGAGAACACUAUCGAUAAUGUGAGUAAUGAGUAUAUCGAUACUAUCCGCGCUCUCAUAAAAGGCGUGCGACGGUGACACCGUGUUGCGCAGCCAGCCGCCCAGACAGUUGGCAAGUGGGCAGUUCCAGUGGCAACAGUUCCGCUGCAUGUCGGUUAUCGCUAUCAGUCGGCGUGUGCUCCGCAACACGACCACACUACCUGACAGCCAGUUGAAAAUAUUUUUGAAGCGAGACUGCCGUUAUUUGCUCGAACGUCAGCAACUCUCCGGCGGGAAGGUCCUUACGUUCCACGGAAUUAUUUAUGUUUUCGAUACAGUUUAAAGCUGCUAUAAAUAUUCGGAGGACAUAUAUGUGGAAGAUUCAACGACUAUGUGAGGGCUGAAGAGUACAUGUGUGGAAAUAAGAUGAGUGUGAUGCCUACCUGAAUGGUUAAACCAGCAUUCAUUGCGGCGUGUAUUGCAGUAAGAAAACGUACGAUAAGAGAAUAUCCAGUUGUAGCGUUUCUGAAAGCUUAGAUAUUACACUAUGCCUAGAUUAUUUAAGUGGAAAAGGGAGGAUAACAAUCAUUGCAGAUUGUAUACACUUGGAAAUCAGCACCAGAAGUACGGAACUCAGAGAUUAUUAUUGCAUUGUUGCGGCGUGCCAUGUGGCCAGAACUCCAGAGGCGAUCAACAUUCAAAUAUAGUAUCAAUGCAUGCAUAGGAAGAGAUAA